UUAAUCUCGAAGAAUGCCAGUUACAGCACAGGGUGAGUAACCUCCUCUUCUUCGAGAGAGAUGUCCCUCUGGGUGGCUCCACUGCAGGUGACUUAAAAGCAGUGUAUCUCAAGGAGGUAGAGUAGCUACACAUCUAGUGGAAGGAGUUCUGAUGGAGGCUGGAGGUGUAACUUGUUUUAUCUGAUAGCACAGUUAGAUGCAGUCAGAGAUCCAGUUUGAAAGUCUCUGGGUAGAAAUAGGUAUCCCUUUGGAACGCUCUGUGAUGGAGACAAAAAGUCUAGAAGAGCUUCUAAAAGGUUUGGUUCUAUCCAAAAGGAAGGACAAGGCCCUGCAUACAUCUAACGCAUGCAUUGUGGCUUCAAAAGAGUUUGCAUGUGGUUUUGGAAAGAAAAAGUCAGUAGGUGUAUUGGCUCCUUAAUGUGGAAUGAAGAGUGAACCUUUGGAAGAAAUUUGGGGUGUAAUCUAAAGGUAACCUUGUCCUUGAAAAAUAGUGUAUAUGGUGGAUCUGCCAUAAGGGCUGCUAUUUCUCCUGCCCUUCUGGCGGAGGUAAUUGCCACUAAAAAUGCUGUUUUCAUAAAGAGGUGUAAAAGGGAGCAGGUGGCUAGUGGGCUCAAAAGGUUGUUGAGUUAGGCAGGAUAAUACUAAAUGAAGGUCUCAUAGAGGGGUAGGCGGUUUAAUGUCUGGGUAUAGGGUUUGGAGUCCCUUGAGGAAACACUUGGUGAUCGGAUGAGCAAAGACAGAGGUAUUGUCGAUUCUGUCACGAAAGGUUGUAACAACAGCUAAGUGGACUCUGAUGGAGCUGAAAGAAAGGCCAGAUUGCUUAAUGUCCAAUAGUCAGUCAAGUAUGAGCAGGAGGGGUACGGACAUGGGAAAAAAUUGUUUAGCUGAACACCACUGUGUGAAUCACUUCCACUUUCGGAGAUAGGUGGUGCGAGUAUAUUGUGUUCUGCUAUGUAGGAGCAUCCUCUGAACUUGGUCAGAGCAAGCUAGCUCGUUUUCGGAGAACCAUGUGGGUACCAGGCUUUGAGGUGAAGCAUGGACAGACUGAGGUGAAGAAAUCGGCCGUGUUGCUGUAAUAAGAGGUUCGGAAUGAGGGGCAAUGAGAUUGGUGGUCAAAUUGACAUUCUGGUGAGGAACGGAUACCACGGUUGUCUGGGCCACGACGGGGCAAAUCAAGAUCACCGUGGCACGAUCUGUUCAUAUCUUUGUGAGAACUCUGUGGAGAACCAGUAUAGGGAGGAAAAGCGUAGAUUAAGUUCCAUUGCCAUGGGACCAUAAAUGCUUCUCCCAGGUAAUGUUUGCUGAAUCCUGCUCUGGAGCAAAAUUCGGGACAUUUCGUGUUUUUCACAGUUGCAAAAAGGUCUAUGACCCCAAAUGCGGAAUGUGCUGCGGAUGAUUGACUUGUUUAUCUCCCACUCAUGAUCCCAGGGAAAGCGUCUGCUUAAUUCGUCCGCUGUGGUAUUCAUAACUCCGGGAAGAUAGGCAGUCGAAAUGCGGAUGUUGUUCGCAAGGUACCAAUUCCAGAGCUUCAUAGCCGCUGUGCAGAGCGAGUGAGAGUGAGCUCCUCUCUGCCUGUUUACAUAGAACAUGCAGGCAAUGUUAUCUGUUAUGCGUACAUGUUGAUUCCUGAUUAGUAGGAGGAAGUGAUGGCAGGCAUUGUGUAUGGCUCGAAGUUCUAGGACAUUUAUGUGCAGGGAGGUUUCGGUGGAAGACCACAGUCCCUGGACUGUGUGGUGAGACAUGUGGGCGCCCCACCCUGUGAGGGAUGCAUCGGUAGUCAUUACUGGGGAUGGAGUGUUCUGGAGAAACGGGACUCCAGAGCAGAGGUUGGAGGGAACUGUCCACCAUAGUAGAAAGUCUGACUCGGAAGGGUAUGGAGAGAGGCUUGUUUAAGGAGUGCACGUUAGGUUUGUAAACCAUGGUCAAGCAAGCUUGGAAGCACCUCAUGUACAGGCGUGCCUUUUAGACCACGAAAGUGCACAAGGCCAUGUGGCCUACUAGCUGUAGACAGCCUUGGGCAGUGAUCUGGGGACUGUUGCGAAGUUUUGUGGCCAGAAGUUUUAUGGUGUUGAAUUGGUCGGGUGGGAGAGAUGCCAACCCUGCUCAGGAGUCGAGGUCCGCUCCUAUAAACUCCAGGUGCUGGGUAGGGCAUAAUGUAUAUUUGUUUUUGUUUAUUUGUAGGCCAAGAGAUAGGAAACAAUCAAUGGUGAGAUGCGUGAAUAGGAGAGGUUUGAUGAACGUCAAGGCUUUGAGGAGACAAUCGUUGAGGCAAUUUCUGAAUCCUGGAACCAUGGAGGAGCGAUGCUUUGAUGUGGAACAGCUGUGGAUUGGGAUUGAAAAUGUGAUCCACACCCUGAGAAAGGCGUUGCAGAGUCAGGCAAAGAGACAUUGGAGGGCAUACUUCAGUAAAGGAGGUAUGUAUACCAGACUUGUCAUGGUCAUGUCAGAGCUAUAUGGAUGACUUGGGCCUGGUCCCUCUGUAUCUUGUGGAGUACACAGAACAGAAAAGGAAAGGCAUAGAGUACUAGAGCAUCCCAUGUGAGGAGGAAUGAGUCAUCCAGGGAUCUGUGUCCUAGUCCUGCUCGAGGAAAAUUGAGGGCAGCAGGUGUUUUUGCCACAAUGGAAAAUAUCGAUGGUGGGUGAUUCCCAGCAGUUGAAGAUGUGCUGAAUGGCUUGCAUAUCCAGUUCCUACUCAUGAUCGUGGGAGAAUUGCCUGCUUAAUGAAUCUGCAAUGGUGUUCUGGUGUCCAGGGAAAUAUGCGCCUGAGAUAGUGAUGCCGUGUUGGAUACACCAAUUCCAUAAUUUCAGUGCCUCCAAGCAUAGAGUUUAUGUACAACAUGCAGGUGAUAUUGUCUGUCAUGUCUCUGAUGGCGUGAUGUGCAAACAGUGGGAGAAAGGGUUGGUAGGUAUUGCAGAUUGCCCGUAGCUCCAGGAGGUUGAUGUGCUGGGUGGAUUCAAUGAAAGACCAUCUACCUUGGACUGUAUGAUUGCGAAGGUAUGCUCCCCAACCAAUCAAGGAGACAUCAGUUGUUAGAAUCAUGGAUGGUGCUGGCUGCAGGAAGGGAAUCCAGACAGAGACAUUUUUGAGUUGAGUCUACCUGAGUAAUGAGUCCUUGACCAUCAUGGGCAUGGAAAGGGGUUUGUGCAGGCUGUCUGUGAGGGACAUGACUGUACAUAGCCAUGCCUGAAGACACUGCAUGUGUAAAUGUGUAUACUUCACCAUGAAGGUGGCCGCCACCAUGUGACCGAGCAGCUGGAGACAU